UCCAGAUUAACGGGGAUGCAUUGGGGAAAUCAAUUUCAACGUGAUUAAGGUGAAGGGGAAAAAAAAAGGGCGAGCCUCUUUUUCCUCUUGAUCAGCUGAUAGCAAUUAGUAGGAACGCCUGCCCCUAGGGCAGACAGGAAACCAGGAAUCUCUCAGUCGCCACGGGGAGAGGGAACUGAAUUUCCAAAUCUAAGGUUCAAAGCCUGGGGACCAAGGCCUGCCGUUGAGAAGGAGCCCUAGUCUGACUUGGACAUGUCAAAUUCUUGCCUGUUUCCGAUUUCCUUUCCCGGGCUGGGCUCACCUGGAGUCGACCUGGAGUGGUUCGAGUCAAGGAUCGGUAUAGAGUUUCAG
rnacentral:lncRNA from 1 species